rnacentral:tRNA from 1 species
GCCUGGGUGGCUUAGUCGGUUAAGCAUCCAACUUCAGCUCAGGUCAUGAUCUUGCAGUUUGUGGGUUCGAGCCCCACAUAAGGCU